AUUGAACGCUGGCGGCAUGCCUUACACAUGCAAGUCGAACGGCAGCACGGGAGCAAUCCUGGUGGCGAGUGGCGAACGGGUGAGUAAAGUAUCGGAACGUGCCCAGUCGUGGGGGAUAACGUAGCGAAAGUUACGCUAAUACCGCAUACGAUCUAUGGAUGAAAGCGGGGGAUCGCAAGACCUCGCGCGAUUGGAGCGGCCGAUAUCAGAUUAGGUAGUUGGUGGGGUAAAGGCCCACCAAGCCGACGAUCUGUAGCUGGUCUGAGAGGACGGCCAGCCACACUGGGACUGAGCCACGGCCCAGACUCCUACGGGAGGCAGCAGUGGGGAAUUUUGGACAAUGGGCGAAAGCCUGAUCCAGCCAUGCCGCGUGCAGGAUGAAGGCCUUCGGGUUGUAAACUGCUUUUGUACGGAACGAAAAGGACUGCCCUAAUACGGUGGUCCCAUGACGGUACCGUAAGAAUAAGCACCGGCUAACUACGUGCCAGCCGCCGCAGUAA
rnacentral:rRNA from 1 species